AUGGAUCUUGGGCGUCUCAACUAUGGUAUCGUGACCCUCAUCCCCAAGGUCCCGGGCGCCUCCGUCAUCCGCCAGUUUCGUCCAAUCACAGUGAUUAAUGUGAUAUUCCGGAUCCUGGCCAAAGGGUACGCCAAUAGGGUGACCCUGCUCGCUGAUGCGAUUACCCAUCCGAACCAAUCCGCCUUCAUACAAGGCCGAUUUAUUCUGGAUGGGGUACUAGUAUUCCACGAAGUCCUCCAUGAGGUCCGGAUGAAACGCCAUCGGGCGGUCUUUCUGAAGCUAGACUUGCACAAAGCGUACGACACGGUCCACUGGCCCUUCUUGCGGGAAGUGUUG
rnacentral:rRNA from 1 species